GUGAGGGUUCUGUCAUUAUCCACAUUUUAGAGAUGAGGAAACUGAGGCUUAAAAGGGCUAAGUGACCAACCCACUGACACAGCGAUUCGAGCUUAGGCUGGCCCAUCCCAGACCUGGACUGCCCACCUCUCUCCCCUUUCGCAGCCGACCUGGCUGCCAGCUCUCGUCCUUCCUCUGCGGGGUUUGGCUUUUCCCUCCUCUCUUCCCCAGGUGGUCCCGUCCCGGGCACUGCCUCGAGUCUCACGGUGUGCAGGGCCAGGCAGACGAGCUGCUGACUGCAGCUUCGCUGUAAUCUACCGACUCUAACGGCAGCUCAGCUCGCACGGGGCUAGCACAGCGAACACGUGCGCACGGGGAUGGGCGGAGAACCGAGUGACGACAGCAAAGAGCCAGGGGGAGCCAGGAAAAGCUCGAAAAUCAGCGUAACGCUGUUGGAGAUGAGAGGGCACAGCACAAUUUUGAGAGCCAAACAAAGGCGGGGCACAGAGCUGUUGCCUCGAGAUGUGUGGCCUCAGAAGGUCUUGUCGAGGCGAGUGAUGAAAGGGAGGAGGUUCCCGAGGAUACUGGAGCCGGAAGACGCGGCGAGGGUCCGGGAUUCAAGGAGAUUCAAAACCCGUGUCACUGCUGCCAUCUUCCUAGAAUCCCUUUAAAUCCUCAUGGAUUUGCUGACAUUGGGAGCAUCCUGAAAGAGUCCCCAUGCUAGGGUGGCUGCAGUAACAGGUACAAUGAGAAAUGAUGGUUCUCCCCACUCCAGAAAAAAUCAAAUCAGAUUGUGAAUUUAUUCCCUGACAUUAACACACGGCAUUACAGGAGCAUGUACAUCACAUGGUCAAUUUAUUGGCAUGAGGAUUAUGUCAUCGGGGAAUAAAUGGGAAAUUCUCAAGGAGAAGCCAAGUUGUGAGCAGUGCACCUUCACAAGCAAAGCCUCGACUGAAAUCUUCUCUAACAAUUGGCUGGUCACUCCUGAGCGUAAUCUACCCCUUCAGAACACUGGGGAUGAAUUUAGAGACAUCGAAGCCUCCUGAUGAGAAAUACGUGUCCACUCACCGGGAGAACUGAAAUACCAGGAGAUUUCUACACAAAUCUCACAGAGUCCUUCUGGCGUCCUAGGGGUUUGCUCACAUAUAAGGGACUUUCUGGUAGGAAGAGAGUCUCUUUACAUUCUUUAUUAUAUGAUCCUGGUGGCUUUGUAGAGAGAUGGUACAGCUGACAGAUCAUGUCCUGUGGGGCCAGGGAGUUGUGUGUGUGUGAAUGCUCUGUGAACUUGGGCAAACUACUUAGCCUCUCUGAGCCUUAGCUGCAUCAGCUUUGAAAAACAGGAUGAUAAAAUGGAGUCACCUUAUUUGACUUUUAUAAAUACACUUACACAAUUACACAAGUUGUGGGGAUGGGAAGAGAGAGUUGGGGAAAGAGAAAUGAGAGAGAGAGAGAGAGAGAAUGAAUGAUAAACAAUUUAAACAACAGUGGGGUGUAGACCAACGCCCAGCCUGGCAAGGGUGAGCCCAGAGAGCCUUCCCUCCUGGCUAUUGGCAGCCUCCGCAUGGAAGCCUGUCGUUGACUUCUUAAUGAUGAGAGAUGUUCUGGGGGCACUCCAGGAUUCUUGGACAUGGGAUCGUCUUCACAGCUGUGUCUAUUGAAAGCUGAAGUUUCAGUCUCCCCUGCCCCCUGCCCCCUGGAGUGGCUUCCCAGGGGAAAUUCAAGGGCACCUGUGACUGCAUGGCUGCUUUCCUUUCCUUUACUCAAUGCCGUCCUUUGGUGACAGCCGUGUCUCAUGCCAGGAUACAUGAGGUGCUCUAUAGUAGUAUGUUUUCCCUCCUGGGAGGUAAUUUUAUUUAAAUGUGAAGUCAAAAGGAUCACUAAAUAGAACCAUGAGGCAACCACUCUGGGCACCUGCCUGGUGAUAUCCACAAGAGCUGACCACAGGUGCCCCCUGUGCCCAGCAAGUCCUUGGCUGGGCAGUCACACAACAGGCAUGGGGAUGUGUGGCCACCAAGCCCUCCAGGGCAGUGCUAUUUGUAAUAGUCCCAAAUGGGAGAGAUGGCAAACGCCCGCCAAUGGGGCAGCAUGGAUAAAUGGAUGCUGCACAGCAACGGCGAUGAGUGAGCCCCAGCACCCGUGAGCUCACCAGUGUAAUAUUGGGUGGAAGAAGCCAGGAGGAAGGGCAUUCACAUUCUGUGAUUCCAGCUACACUAUGUUUAAAUAUGGGCAGAGCUAGGCUGUGGUGCUGGAAGCCAGGACAGUGGGAUCCUUGCAUGGGGGUGAUGGUGCUGGUAGGUUCUGGUAAUUUCCUCUUCUUGAUCUGGGUGUAAACAUUUUGUGAAAAUUCAAUGAGCUGUACAUUUAUGACUGGUACAUUUAUGACUUUGUAUGAAUAUUAUACUUUCAUAAAACUACUUUAAAAUAUGAUUGUGAACCUUUUUUCACCUAUUUUCUGCCAAUUAGCACCGAAUUGCUCACUAACUAAUGAGUGGUGCUGGUUUUGACUUGCUUGCUACACUGUCUUGAGACAGAUAGGGUUUUCUGUGCUUUGUAUGACCCCCUCUGGAACCAGGGUGGGACUGGGAACACUCGGAAAACAUGUGCUGACAGAUGCUGGGCAUCCCCGUGUUGGUGGAGGCAUGCUCAUUCCUCAGCAAAAUACCCAUAUGGGGUGUUGGCAGGAAAGAGGACAGAAAAGGACAAAGUAUUUGUCUCUGCUAGCGUUCCUGGAGCUGUCUCACCUUGGCCAAGCCCCCGCCCAGUCCUCUCCUAACGUGGACAGACUAGGGGGCAGAAACUAGUCAGCCAAAGAAUUUCCAAGCUAGGGGUUGAUGAAUGCUUGGAUAAUUUGCCCAUGAACACGUUGGAUUCUUCUUCACUUGCCAUCACGGGGGGAUAAGUACCCCAGUUUUUUUUUGGAGAGAAUUGAGGGACUGUGCCAUUGCAGUGUGGAUUUCAAGAGAUUUUAAACGGAAGGCAGAGUAACAGUGUGGUUUGGGAAGCUCUAAAGACAGUUGUCCUGGUGCGGUUUCUUCCAUAAAAGAGUGGGGACGCCAUGGACCUGCUCACCAAAUUCCAGUCCCGACACAGUUCUGUGAGGCACUCUCCACAUCAGGGCAGACGGGCAGGAGGAGUUUACACAGCGAUCUGGGGGCCAUUAGAGCACUGAGGGAUCCAUUGCUGUCUCUUGUUUCUGUUUCCCACACUGUGCUGGGUGCUGGGAACAUGACGAUGAACUUGAAGGAAAUAAUGUGUACGGUGGUUCAUUUCCAAGACAUAGUGCCUUGAAUCAGUUUAGGUCAGCAAACUACAGAAGAAACAGGAUAUACUAGGCCCCUGCUUGGAGAGCUGAUGCCUGUUUGUUGCCCCUCACCCCCUUAGUUGCCCUUACCAGAACCAAAGGAGUUUAGUCUAAGAUGAAAGUUUACUAGCCUGCAAAAUAGCUCACUUUGUCUGUUCUUAUCAGCCUGCCCAGCUACUUAGGUCAUAAGUGAAAUACUUGAAGAGCCCCUGAGCUAACUAGGAUUGCAAUGCAUUGUGGCUGCAACAAGAUGCAGCAAGACAACUGUAAAGAAAAUGCCUAAAACCCCUACCCACCAACCCAUAGGCGAUGUCCAGGAAGACUGUGACCUCCAUAGUACUCAGCAUUUGAGGAACUGGGGGAGGGACCUGUGCACUAGGGGAUAAAUUGCUUGUUGAAACUGUGCUGGGUGUGCCUGUCCAUCAGAUACCCUAUCUUGCAAGACUGUCG
rnacentral:lncRNA from 1 species